rnacentral:lncRNA from 1 species
GUUCAGGUAUGUUUUCCACUUUCUUGGGCUUGUUGAUACUGUAUUUUGUUUUUCGAGCAGCCCUGGCUUCUUCUAACUGUAUGUAUCCCGGGAGUCGGGCUAGAAUGUCAUCAAAAUCUCGUGGUUGCUUUACUUGUAAGUUAUCAAAGAAAGCUUCGGGCCUUAAACCCCGGACAAAGGCGUAACCCUUAAUCUGUGAUUCAGCUUUGGGCACUUCCAGAGAUGCCUUAGUGAAAGAGCAGCAAAUUCCUUUAGAGUUUCAGUAGGUUCUUGUUUUAGAUCCAUCAACGACAUCGCAGUCUUCACAGCACGCUUAGAACUUGCGAACUGGCACAUGAAAGCAUCGUGUAG